GUAAGUGUGGCGCAGUGGUUUGGGUGUUGGACUAUGAUUCUAGAGACCAAGGUUCAAUUCCCAGCUUGGUCA